UUUUAAAACAUUACAGGUCUCUCUGAGGGGGGGAGGGAAUCAUAGGUGAUUUUUUUUUUUUUUUUUUUUUUUUUACUUUCUACUUACAUAUUUCUAUAGUUUGACUUUUUUUAAAUGUUGAACAUGUGGUAUUUACAAUUAGGAAAACAAGAUGUGCUCUUAGGUAUGGUGGAUGGGAAGAAAUCUUUUACAGAUUGAAUUUGGAUAGGCAGAAAUAAUUGCAUAUUUCCGUUUGUGAAAUAGAUAUAUUUACUUGAUAUAAAGGAUUUUUUUUUUUUUUGGUGUGUGGGGGGGUAGCCAUCCCAGGAAGUCCCUGGAUUAUAAAGCAUUAUUGAUUGUUUUGGGAGAAACUGUGAAGUGACAAAUGAUUCUGAAAGUUGUUACUUUUGGUGAGCAUGGGAGAAACAGAGAUAAACUCGAGUGAUUAUCACUAAUUUUCUUAUAGGUAUCCAAGUGUUUUUUUUGAACUUUUUAAAAGUUUAUUUUAUUUCUUAUAUUUUUUAUAUUUUAUAUAAAGUAUAUAUUUAUUUUGAAAGAGAGAGGGAGACAGAUCUCCAGCAGUGGAGAGGCAGAGAGAGAGGGAGAGAGAAAAAAAUCCCAAGCACUGUCAGUGCUGAGCCUGAUGUGGGGCUCGAACUCAUGAACCACGAGAUCAUGACCUGAGCUGAAGUUGGGGUGCUUAACCAAGCCACCCAGGUGCCCCUAGAACACAACGAAUUUUUUUAAGUUUAUUUCCUUAUUUUUGAGAGAGACAGAGACUGUGUGAGUGGGGGAGGGGCAGAGAGAGAGAGGGAGAGAGAGAGAAUCCCAAGCAGGCUCUGCACUGUCAGCGCAGAGCCCUAUGUGGAGCUCAAAUCCAUGAACCGUGAGAUCGUGACCUGAGCGGAAACCGAGAGUCAGAUGCCUAACCAACUGAGCCACCCAAGUGGCCCGAACACAAAGAAGUUUUAAAGAUGCAUUAAAGAUAAAAUGAGUAUUAACAGCCAAAAUCUUGCUCUUGUUAAGAACGUUAUUGUUACGUGUUUUAAUUUUUUUUUAAUUUUAAUUAUUUUUUGAAAUGUUUACUUAUUUCUCUUGAGAGAGAGUGUGAGCAGGGGAGGGGCAGAAAGAGGGGGAGAGAGAGAAUCCCAAGCAGGUUCUGCGCUGUUAGUGCUGGGGGGUGGGGGGGGGGCUCGAUCCCACGAACAGUCAGACCAUGACCUGAGCCCAGAUCAACAUUUGGGCACUUAACUCACCGAGCCAUCCAGUUGCCCCAAUUUUUAUUAUUUUUUUAAAGUUUAUUAAAUAAUCUCUACACCCAACAUGGGGCUUUAAUGACCUGAGAUCAAGAGUUAUGCGCUCUCCCAGCUGAGCCAGCCAGGCCCCCCAUGUAUUUUUAAAUGAAAGUAUACGGAUGAAUUUCUGUCUUUGUUUCUUUCUUGUUAGUUGCGAGAGUGGAGGAGGGAGAGGGAGACAGAGAAUCCCUAUCAGGCUCCCUGCUGUCCACGUAGAGCCCCACUCGGGCUUCAGUCUCUCCAACCGUGAGAUCUUGACAUGAGUUGAAACCAUGAGUCCAAGCGCUUAGCCGACUGAGCCAUCCAGGCGUCCUGUGUCAUUGUUUUUAAAAAUCUUUGUGACCAGUCUGCGAUUUGACAAGUGUGGUUCUACAUUCAACUUAUUUUGUUAUUUGGCUUGAAAACUCAUAAGAGCUAAAAAAAAAAAAAAAAGUUAUCUCACCGAGAUACGUUGAUCCAAAUAAAUAGUUGAAGUUCAUUAACGACUAUAUUUAUUAACCAGCAAAUUUCAUUUUCAAACCAUCUACCAGUUAUGCAGAACAUUUGGUUACAAUUUGGUGAAUUUCCUUUUUUCCCUGAUCUCAUUAAAUUCCCGAAAAAUGUAUUUCAGUUUAUAUUAAUAAUGAUGGUGGAGGGUUGAAAUACACUUUUUACAUUCACUGACAUUUUUAAAAUGGAUUAGAAAACUGUUUCUAAGUUCUCUGUAAAUACAAAAGCACCCCUUUUCAAAUUGCCGUCUCCGUAAUACGAGUUUCUUUCCAAAAAGCAGUUAUUUUCUUUAACUUUUUAGAACCUCAUCUUUACCUUGAAGGGACUAAGUAAAAGCUCAUUUAAAAAUAUCCUCCAAGGGGCGCCUGGGUGGCUCAGUCGGUUAAGCGUCUGACUUUGGCUCAGGUCAUGAUCUCACGGUCUGUGAGUUCGAGCCCUGCGUCGGGCUCUGUGCUGACAGCUCAGAGCCUGGAGUCCGUUUCAGAUUCUGUGUCUCCCUCUCUCUCUGCCCCUCCCCUGUUCAUGCUCUGUCUCUCUCUCUGUCUCAAAAAUAAAUAAACAUUAAAAAAAAUUAAAAAAUAAAAAUAAAAAAAAUAAAAAUAUCCUCCAGGUAGCAUAUUAGUGACGGCUACUUGUGAUCAUGGAGUAGGUCAGUAAAUUUAGAACAGGUUGUAUUUACAUAAAAGAAGAAUAUGUUAAUCAUCCUUAAGACAAUUCUUAAAUUUUUUUUUUUUUAACGUUUAUUUAUUUUUGAGACAGAGAGAGACAGAGCAUGAACAGGGGAGGGUCACAGAGAGAAGGAGACACAGAAUCUGAAACAGGCUCCAGGCUCUGAGCUGUCAGCACAGAGCCCGACGCAGGGCUCGAACCCACGGACUGUGAGAUCAUGACCUGAGCCGAAGUCGGACGCUUAACCGACUGAGCCACCCGGGCGCCCCAAGACAAUUCUUUUAUGUAUUUUGCCAUGAGAAAACUAGAACAGCUCUGGAUGGUAUAAAAUAUUUUUGUGGUCACUCCCACCUCAUUACUUAAAGUUUGCGUGUGUGUGUUUUUUAAGUUUUAUUUAUUUAUUUCGAGAGAGAGCACGAGCAGGGGAGGGGCAGAGAGAGAGGGAGAAAGAGAGAAUCCCAAGCAGGCUCUGCACUGUCAGCAUGGAGUCCGGUGCGGGGCUCAAACUCACAAACCAUGAGAUCAUGACCUGAACCAAAACCAAGAGUUGGAUGCUUGCCGGACUGAGCCACCCAGGCACCCCAGUUGUGUUUUUUCUACCACAUAGAUGACAUCCUACCAUAAAUAAACUGCGCAGAUGAUGGGGACCAUCUUGCAUGUGAAUCCAAACGAGGGCGCCGGUGUUGAUGUAAGAGGCAUUUCUUUUCCAUCAAAGAUAAAAAAUAGAGGCACCUGGGUUACCCAGUUGGUUAAGCACCUGACUUCGGCUCAGUUUAUGACCUCGAGGUCCGUGAGUCCGAGCCCCAUGUCGGGCUCCGUGCUGACAGCUCAGAGCCUGCAACCUGCUUCAGAUUCUGUGUCUCCCUCUCUCUCUAUCCCUCCCCCGCUCGCACUCUGUCUCUCUCAACAAUAAACAUUAAAAAAAAAUGUUUUUAAAAGAAGAUUAAAAAAUGACCAUAAAUGCACAUUCUGAGAGUUUCUCCCCAAACCCAGCAGAUCGUCUUGCUUACUCCUCCCACCCUCCCCGCCGCGUACACAUCCCUUAGGAGAUUCUCCACGCAGUAUGUAUGUGAUGGAGUGACUCCGGAUUUGCACCUUUUCAUCAGGUUCUCUUCAUUUCUUAGAUUCUGUUUCCAAAAAAAUCAGAAAAUCUGCUUAGAACCAGAUGCUACUUGUGAUCCCCACCCCCACCCCCCCUCUUCCUUCAUCUUAUUCAUGAGAAAACAGGCAUUGAGAAAGAGAUCGUCUUCAGAUGGGACUAGAAUCACGUCUCCCUGGCCAGCACUGGGCUGCUCUGUGUCAGUUCGUCUCCGGGUCGUGUAUACAUGACCCACCGCUACCCAGACGAGCUAGUGGAAACCUGUUGAUACCUGACUUCCUAAAGACUAAUUUCCUUCUCAAAUCUCCCUGCUCUGUUCUUUUGCUUCCCAAGCAUAUGGCCUUGAAAUCCUCUUUCUUUUUCUUUUUCCGUCCUUUUCAUCACAGACACAUGCUUCGUCUAGAUAUUACUGAAAUGUGAAGAAUACUCCGAAGCAGAGUCUCAUUUCCUGAGAAGUAGCCUUCUAAGUGAAUCAAGAUGCAAUACAGAAUCACUCUGUUUUUAGUGAUGAAGGUGAAAUCUUUAUAACCUGUCUGCCCUCCAGAAGUCCCCGAGACUUAACAAGGAAGGUGUAGAUAAAAUAGAACAAACACCGAACACGGUAAAAAAAAUAUCAAAUUGUAAAGAAGGAGAGGGAAAUAUAUAUUUACCAUAACAUUGUGCACAGUCCUGGUUAAGGACCUUGACAUUUGAACUUGACUUCUUUAGGAGCCACGACAAAGCUGUGACAGAACUAUCCUUGUCUCCUACCAGGACGAACACUGGUUUCAUUUUCACCGCCCGGUUCUGAGGGAAGUUUGCUGUUAGAGGGCAUUAGACAGGAAAAUGAAUUUUUGUGGAAUUCGGUGAAGGCCAUGGGCGAAAAUGUGACCCGGGGCUGGGGACUCAGGAUGACUUAGCCCAGGUGUAUGGCCUUUUCCUAAUCUGGCUUUAUACCAAGACAAGGCUUGAAUAAAUAAUGCAAGAAUCAGUUUUUCCCGUCUGGCUUGGUGAUGAAUUGAGGUCAUUAUUGAGUGCCUAACGGAUGCGUUUUCUGCAUCGUCGACUGAAAGAGGAUUCACAUGCUGCAGAAUUAGUACCUCGGAAUGGAGUUCGCGAAGGCCGUGUUGUAUUGGGUGAAAGGAGAAUCUGCCUUCAUAAUCAAGGGCCCCCUCUGUCUAGCGGAAGGUCACAGGCAGGACCUGGGUGUUUCUCAGAAGCAUUCCUCAGUAGUACUCAGAGCCCCCAGACCCUGAGCUGUCUGAGCAGGGACGACAGUGUUUAGGAUAAGAGAUAAUAAAGAGCUACCCUUAGGAUAGAAGACUCUAAAGACAGCUUCCAUGAUGUGUUUCUUUAGAAGCAUCUUCCACCCCAUGCUUUUCCUCAGACCCUCUGGUAUAGAUUUGGGACUCUUUUCUGUUGGCUGGGACACUGACUGUGCAGUGCCACAUGGUCCAGACCCCCAUGACGGGAAACGCAGGUUCCUCGACUCUAGUCCUAAGCUGCUCUCCGCAACUCUUCCCGCUCACUAGUCAUUGGAAACGACAUAAGGAAGGUUUCUGAGAAGUUGUGCCGCCCUGAAGUGUGUUCUUGAGAGUCAGGGGCUGAAGCCCUGUCCGUCAGAUAUCUGCUGAGCGCCGGCUCCCCCUCUGGCAGGAGCUUCCACCUGGAACCGUUGGAAACGACACCCAAAUGUGGCAGGAACGGGUGAGCCGCGUCAUCGUUUGUGGACGCAGGGAGGGCAUACAUAAACAAUGACCAGUUUUAAGUGCCACGGUCUCUCUGCUUUACACAAAUGACAUUUAAGGGCAUAGGUUUUAUGAUGAGAAGUAGGGAGUCGAAGUUUAAAAACUCACUGACAAGUUUUAUGAAACCUGGGGGGAACCUCCCACUCGUCUCGUACGACAAUCCGAUCUAUAUGUAAAGAAAGACACAAUACCACAACGGAAAUCAAUAAUCCUGAGAGGAGGAGAAGGAACAAGAGAAUACAAAUAAAUCUGGGGCGGGGGCGCCUGGGUGGCUCCGUCGGUUAAGCGUCCGACUUCGUCUCAGGUCACGAUCUCGCGGUCCGUGAGUUCGAGCCCCGCGUCGGGCUCCGUGCUGACAGCUCAGAGCCUGGAGCCUGCUUCCGAUUCUGCAUCUCCCUGUCUCUCUGUCCCUCACCUACUUGCACUCUGUCUCUCUCUGUCUCCCAAAAAUAAAUGAAUGCUAAAAAAAAAAAUUAAAAAGAAAAAGAAUAACUCUGGGGUUUUUCGUAUCUAGAAGUGAAGAAAAAAGUUUGGUAUCUGGAAAGGCACUCAAGGUUUAUUACCUAUAAGGCCCUGGGAGACGGUGCAGGUUUUCAGGAGGUCAGAUGACAAGGACAAGGGAAGGCACGAGUCCGAUGGAGCCGGGCUGCAGGAGAGGUGGCUGGGGAGGAGCUCUGAGCUCAGCUGGUCACAGCCGCCAUCCUGAGGCGACCAGAGUAAAAUAGAGCGUCACGGCCUGGGCUCCGUUGCUGCCAUUUGGCACAGACACAUAGCACUGUUGUUUGAGUCCCAGCAUCUCUGCAGGCUUUCCCCAAACCAUUCCAUUUUCUUGUGUGCGUGUGUGUUUAAGGUUUUAUUUUUAAGUAAUCUCUGCUCCCAACGUGGGGCUCGAACCCCCACCCCCCACCCAGAUCAGGAGUCACAGGCUCCACCGACUGAACCAGCCAGGUGCCCCUCAUUUUCUUGUUUGCAAAAUGGGGAUCCCACCUCUUCAGCCUCCCUCAGGGCGUUCUGUGGGGACCGCAUGAGUGACAUUUGCUUGAGGAUGAGGACGUUUUCAUCCUUCAGUGUGGACCAAGUGCCAGGACAAGGGGGCUGGUAGAAAUGUUUGCUCCCGUGCCCCACGGCCAGUUUAUGCCCCACUGCUCUCUUCUUUGCAUUGGACGCCUGGGUCACAUUUUUUGGUUGGCAUUGGACCGGAGCUGUUUCAGAUUCGAACGCUUCAUUUGUCUUGGACAAGUUAUUUAUCCUUUCAAGCUCAGUCUUGUCAUCUGUAAAAUGGGUUUGGUAUUUCUUGCCAUGUUGUUACGAGGACAAAAGGAGAUAAGGAAUAUGAAAGCAUCUGGGGGCGCCUGAGUGGCUCAGUCGGUUGAGUGUCUGACUUCGGCUCAGGUCAUGAUCUCGCAGUUCGUGGGUUCGAGCCCCACGUCAGGCUCUGUGCUGACAGCUCGGAGCCUGGAACCUGCUUCGGAUUCUGUCUCCCUCUCUCUCUGCCCCUCCCCUUUUCACACUCUGUCUCUCUCUCUCUCUCUCUCUCAAAAAUAAACAAACAUUAAAAAUAAACUUAAAAAAAAUAACAACAAAAAAUAAAAUAAAAGCAUCUGGCAGAAUUAGUAGUCAUGGCACAUUCAGUAAAUGUUAGGUUUUCUCCCCUUUUUCUGUAGUUGUGCCCUUGGAAGAAAAAUUCCCUUGAAAGAGAAGUGACUUCAGUUUUGUGUCAGUGUCUUCCAUAAAGGGAGAAACAAAAAUCUUUCAAAAUUUUAUUUAAAAUAUUCAACUGAUGGAAAACACAUGACGAUAGUAAAUAAUCUUGGGGCUCCUGGCUGCGCAGUCAGAAGAGCAUGCAACUCUUGAUCUCUGGGUCGUGUGAGCCCCAUGUUGGCUGUAGAAAUUACUUAAAUAAAUAAAACUUAAAAAAAAAAAGAGAGAGUAAGUAAUGUUAAAGGUUUCCGGUUUGGGGAGCCCUAGCGAUUUAAACGUGACCUGAUGCUUUCUUGCAGACUUGGGCCGGGUGGUCCGGCUUAGUGCCUGAGCUCUGACUUAGGAGCGAGACUGAUGGGGUCCCACCAGUUGCCAGCUCUAUGACCUUGGAGAAGUUCACCUGUCUGUGCCUCAGUUUCCUCUUUUGUACGAGAGAAACGCGCGCCUCUGUCUCAUCUGGGUCGGCUUGUAUUCGAGGAGCUUCGUGGGGAUAGGAGAGCUUCGCCUUUGGUGAGGGAAGCACUUCGUGCUUUUGGUGACCUGCAGGUCCCCCACCGGGUGCUGUCACUACUACUGAAGACAUUCGUCAUCGUGACAGGUGGUUCUCCGCUCUGUGCCUGGUGCCCGAGACCCUGUGCAGGCCGCUUAGAGGGGAUCCUUCGUUUUAAGUCUCUACAGAGUGCCGUUCUCUACGGAUACUGUAUUUCAACUCUUUUGUGUCCAUGGUUUCAAAAUUUUCCACUCACACUGCUCUUUUGACGUGUUCAGGAAACGGUCGUCUUUUUGGCGCUUCUAAUUCUUUCCAUUUUCGUGGACCCCUCGUUCAUCUCUAAUAAAAUGUGAGCUGUAUUUAUCUGAAAAUUUAAAAUUGAGAUGUUACUAGGCUACUUGUGACCGCACUCUCUUUUGUUCGUAGAUUAAAACAGAAAGAAGAGGGGCGUCUUGGUGGCCCAGUCGGUUAAGCGUCUGAUUUUUCAUUUUGGCUCAGGUCGUGAUCUCACGGUCCUGAGAUGGAGAUUGUCUCUUUCCCGGAGCACCUGGGUGGCUCAGUCGGUUGAGUGUUCGACUCAGAUCACGAUCUCGUGGUUAGUGAGUUCGAGCCCCACAUCGGGCUCGCUGCUGUCGGGGCAGAGCCCACUUCGGAUCCUCUGUCCUCUUCUCUCUGCCCCUCCUCUGCUCAUAUGUACUUCUUUCUCUCUCUCUCAAAAAUAAAUGAACAUAAAAAAAAAAAAGAGAUUCUCUCUCUCUCUCCCUUUCUCUCUCUGCCGCUGCUCCCUCUCUCUCAAGGAAAAAAAUAAAUAAAACAGAAAGAAGGGCUUCCUUUCUUCAAUUAUUGAUUAACUCCUUAAUAUAGAAGGGACAUAAUAUAAAUAAAUACAAUAUAAAUAAAUGUAGAAGGGACUCCUGAAUAUAGAAGGACUGACAGGGAGAAACUUGUCUCUUUGACCCCUGCUGAUAUCCCUUUUCAGAUCUCUGAAAGAAACCCAGAGGUUCGGAGUCCUCUCCCCCCAAUUCAUUUGUGAGAUUCAAGUCAGAUGUAGGAUGUGUAAGCAUUCGGGAGAUUAGAUUUCCUUCAGUAGAUAAGAACCACUCUCUAGAAGUUCCAGUUGUUUAAGGAUGCAGUCAGCUGCCUUUGGGAAUAAUGAGUUUCCUGUUCCUGAAAUUAUCCGAGUAUGUGCUGGGUCAGCACGUUUCAAAGUCUCUUUUCCACAGUGGUAGACAAGAUGGAUAAACAUUCACAAUCAGAGCACACUCCCAUGGGCAGAGUCGGGUUUGGGCAGCAUUCCUGACACGCCAGCUAUAAGUCCACCCCCUCCCCCUCACUCAAGAACGAAAGGGAUGCCGCACCCGUGAAUCUAUUUACACUCAUAUAUAAAAAGUAAGUAUCGUUACUUACUCUCUUGGUAUUGAAGGACCAAGAACACGGUUGAUAACGAAGUAUGGCUCAGCUACCAACGUGUGUGACUGGAGUUGACACGGACUGGCCCCAAGUCCUGCUGUUGUCUGGAGGCACCAGUCCCCAGGUGGGUGAUAGGAUUAGGCAGCGUGUAGCUUUUUAAAUCCUGAGACUUUGAUUCUGUGUCGUGACCAAAAUUGCUCAAGAAUUUUCUUUCUUUUUUUUUUAAAAAAUUUUUUUUUAAUGUUAUAUAUUUUUAAGAGAGAGAGAGAGACAAAGAGAGCUUGAGUAGAGGAAGGCAGAGAGAGAGAGGGAGACACAGAAUCUGAAGCAGGCUUCAGGCUCUGAGCUGUCAGCACAGAGCCUGACGUGGGGCUCGAACUCACGAACGGUGAAGUCGUGACCUGAGCUGAAGUCGGAUGCUUAACCGACUGAGCCACCCAGGCACGCCGAGGAGAUUUUCUUCCUAAUGACUCACUUUUGGUCUGAAAUUUAUUACAGUUGGUAAGUAGGGUUCAGAGACAUAAAGACUUCAAUUCUCAGGUCCUAUCCCACUCUGCCUAUUUAGCAGUAAGUACUAGACCUUAUAGUAAAUACCAAAAACAUUGGGUCAAAAGAAAAAACCAAAAUCAGUUGAAGAGUAUGCACGCGUACUUUGUUAAUAAACUCCUCUUAAAAAUUAUAUGCGUAGGAGCUCUCAUGCUAUAUAAUUAUACAUUAUAAUUUCAUUCCAUAAUUUUAAGCACUCAAAGCAGAACCGUUGUUUUAAAGGUUUCUUUUUUUUAAAGUUUAUUAUUUAUUUUGAGAGAGAGAGAGAACAUGCGCACACGUGAGGAAGGGGCAGAGAGAAAGGGAGAGAGAGAAUCUCAAGCAGGCCCCACACUUUCAUCAUGGAGCCCAGUGCAAAAUUCGAACCCGCGAACUGUGAGGUCAUGACCCGAGUGGACACCAAGAGUUGGGUGCUCCACUGACUGAGCCACCCACACGCCCCAAAGCAGAACCAUUCUGAGAAUCAAAAUCCUUUGGCAAAUAUAAACCUUAGAAUUCUUACAAAUAGAUACAUGGCCUCUUUGCCGUAGUUGACCUUGAAUGACAAGAUUGUCACC